AUCUACAACUAAAAAAAAUUUUUUUAACUGAGCAUUGCCCUUUGGCCUUAGCCAUGAGGGCUCUUGGUAUCCUUUGCCAGAGUACUUCCAAGAUGGUAACAAGGGCAGAAAUGAAACUAUGAGAAGUCCAGUCACAUGUAGACAACAGCUGGCUCAAAGAUCCUAAAGCUUUCAUCAUACUUUAACUUCACUGAACCUGGGCCAGGUGCAGCCAGGUGUGGCAAAGAGCACCAGUUUCUUCAACAAGUUACCCAUGAUAUUGAUAUUGGAGGAGAGAGAUGGAUGUAGGUUGUAGUUUGUCCUUGUGAAUUCCACAUGUCCAUCAAUGGGUGAAUGGAUAAAGUAAGUGGUGUAAUGUAUAUCCAUGCAAUAAAAAGAAAUGAACUAUUAAUUCAUGCCACACCAUGGGUGAGCCUGAAAAAAUUAUACUGAAUUCUAUUGAUAUAAAACUCUAAGAAAUUCAUCAUAUGGUAACAGAAAGCAAAUCAGAAAUGGAAUGGAGAUGCGCAGCAUAAAAGGAAGGCAGAGAUACAAAUUGUGGACUUUAAGAAAAGAGGAAUCUCCAAGAAAGGAACCAAGUAAUUAAUUGGACCUAAAUUCAAAAUGGAGACUGGGAGUCUUUUAGUGACCAGGGUCACACAUUACUCUGUGUUCCUGGAAGAACCACAAACUGAGCUUCGCAACCCUUGCCCAGGCAUGAUCCUCUUUGAACAGCCAAGAUACACCAGUCCCCAGAAAGUCCCUUUCACUAUCCAGAUCUGUCCAAUGAGUUGUGACCUGCUGACAGACACAUUUAAGUAUUGACCAAUCAGGACUGGGCACUUCUAGCCAUACACUUACAUCCCUCUUGUGCCAAUUGCAAACUGCUUGUAGAAAUAAAGUCUCUCCUUUUUUUUUUUUUUUGUCUUAAAUUCUUUCUUAGUGAAUUUUCAUUGACAAAAAUGUACUCAAGAAGUUUUCUAAGAUCUGUUUAUUCUCUUCACCACAGUGAUGUCAGUCAAAAUGCAUCAAAUUGUGUGCUUUAUGUGCAUUUUAUUAUAUGUCAGUUGUACCUCAAUGCAGCUGUUAAAUGUUUUUAAACAGGAAUACAAAAAAAAAUGAGAGGGUGAGACAGCGCUGAUUCAUCUAUCUAGCUGUGGUCUUUCCAACUUUUUCUUUCUUUCCCAUCCUCCUGGCUAGAACAUGACCAUAGUGGUUGGAGCUGACACUAUCUCCUGACCAUCACAGAAAAAGCAAGAAGAUUCCAAAGUUCUCAGAGCCCUCAGAGGUCAGGGACUGCCUGGCUGUUGCACACCUGUGAGGAAGCUGACAGUGGCUGACACAACAUUGUGCUUCCAAGUCCUUGGGAAGAGUUCAGAUGCAGAGGACACCGUGAGGAAGAUGGUGAGGAAAGCCAAGAUAACUGCAGAGAUCAGGAAGAACCGGCCCAGGAGGAUGUAGACUGCAGGAGAGGAAGAGCCAGGGCUGGAGCUGGAGACCCUGCCCUCCAAAAGGCAAGAGACCCUCAGAGCCUGGCACAGGGGGCCCCAGAGCCUCCACCACCCUCAGAUCACAGCCUGGGACCAAAGCUGUGACCCUGCCACUUUGCCCCCCAAGAAUGCUCCGGCCUCACCAUUUUGUUCCCAACAAAGUGGAAGCAUAUGGGGAGAAAGUUAGAUUGACAAUGUCAGACAUGAGAGUCAUUCAUCAGUUCUUAACAUAUAUGAUGAUGUAUGAGGAAAUCAUGUAUCUUCCAUUUGGGAAAAACAAUGGUUUUCAUAAAACACAUAAAAGCAAA